GACGAACGCUGGCGGCGUGCUUAACACAUGCAAGUCGAACGCUGAAGCUCAGCUUGCUGGGUGGAUGAGUGGCGAACGGGUGAGUAACACGUGAGUAACCUGCCCUCUUCUUUGGGAUAACGCCCGGAAACGGGUGCUAAUACUGGAUAUUCACUGAUUCUCGCAUGGGGGUUGGUGGAAAGGUUUUUUCUGGUGGGGGAUGGGCUCGCGGCCUAUCAGCUUGUUGGUGGGGUGAUGGCCUACCAAGGCUUUGACGGGUAGCCGGCCUGAGAGGGUGACCGGUCACAUUGGGACUGAGAUACGGCCCAGACUCCUACGGGAGGCAGCAGUGGGGAAUAUUGCACGAUGGGCGAAAGCCUGAUGCAGCGACGCCGCGUGAGGGAUGGAGGCCUUCGGGGUGUAAACCUCUUUCGCUCAUGGUCAAGCCGCAGCUUUGGGUUGUGGUGAGGGUAGUGGGUAAAGAAGCGCCGGCUAACUACGUG
rnacentral:rRNA from 1 species